rnacentral:lncRNA from 1 species
CCCAUCUCCCUCUCCUCUUCCUCUUCCUUCUCCUCCUUCUCUCCCUGUUCCUCCUCUCCUUCCCUCCCCAUCUCCUCCCUCUCCUCCUCCCAGCCUCUUCCCUUCCUACAGACUCUCACUGUGUAUCCCAGGGUGACUGAAGUUGGAUGCUGAUUGUGUAUUGGGAACCAUCCCUCAGCCCCCCCCCCCACACCGAGCAUCCUCUUGUCUUUGCUGUCAUCUCUUCUCUGUGCCUCAUCUUAUUGCUGACUUGGAAAGAAAGCACAGCUCAUGGAUCCUGCUCAGUUGGCCAGAUACCAACACUGUGGUGACUGCUUGUUUUCCGUUUUCAGCCUUGAGUGCUUCUAUUAGUAAAGUCAGAGCGAGUGAUGAUGACCUACUACCUCUUCCAUUGUCAACAUGUCCUAGGAAUGUGUGUUCUGAUGUCGGGAAUGGAACUCAGCCCAUUCCAUUAGGAAAAACAGGAUAGAAUGAACUUAAACAUAGACCUUCCACAGUGGUCCAGCAAUCUCACUACUGGACCCAGAACUAAACUAAUUAUUCUGUCACAGAGCUGUCUUCCCUCUCUCAUCUAUCGUGUCGAUGUUUCUCUUGGUCCUUUACUCUGUGCUACUUCUGCAAGUAAGACUAGAAUGUCACUAGUAAGACUAGAGAAAUAAGGAGUGGACCAGUGGGGACUUCAACAGAGGAACACAUGUAAAGAAAAAGCGAUGGACCAGGCAACAGAGUACCAUCCGGCCUUGAAGAGGAGUGCAGGCCCUCAUUUGUAACAGCACAGUCACGUCUCCAGCAGACAUCCAUUGACCUGGGGUCCAGCAACCGCUCUGAUGCUGUUAACAGCAGCAUUUUCUCAUGAUCUGCAAGAGCUUGAAAAGCUGCUACAGCCGGGACUCCAGCCGUCAUGACUGACGUGGAGCACGCGUACCUCCCUCCUGCUCACGUUGCUGCAGCUCCUGUCUGCUGCUUAGCUCCUCUCACUGACUGGUGUUAUACUCUCAUUAGUCAAUUCAGUCUUCACAAGCCUGUCGAGCUGGUACCACAGCGACAGUGUUUACCAUGAGGGUUGAACUAAAAAUGGAACUCCUCUCAGGACAGGUGGUGGAACUGGCUCUUAGUUAAGUCCGAGUCUAACGCCAGAUGUUUUAGCCUGAUUUCGCCCCUCCCUCCCAUUAUAAGCCAUAAUGUGUGCUCUCAUAUAACCUUGCAGGAGUAAUCUACGUUUCUACGUUAACGAUGGCUGUAUAAGACUCACACCCUUAUGGUCUAACCUUCCAUGUUUCUCUCAUAGGAUGCCCUCUUUUAUUUGUAGGAUAAGUAUUAUGAAAUGUAGUAUAGAGUUUUUGUUUGUUUUCUUUUUUGAAAUAGGGUUUCUCUAUAGAGCCCUGGCUGUCCUGGAAUUUACUAUGUAGAGCAGGCUGGCCUCAAACUCACAGAGAUCCCCCUGCUUCUGCCUCUGAGUGCUGGAAUUAAAGGCGUGCGCCACCAAGCCCAGCUCAUCAGUAUGGGUUUUAAAGGACCAACCAGUUCUCAGAUUCUUCACUGAAAGCAUCCUUCUGACCUCAUUCUCCUGUUGCCUUAGCAACUGUGAGUGAUGAUUGGCAGAGCACGUGUCUGGGGCCCUGGUACUCCCAUUGGUGAGUUCCUGAGGAAAGCGGGUGCUGCCGCAGGCCCCGUGAAACCCAGUGAGACUGCAUUCGUGGGCUGCCUACCAGGCUGGACAGUUCCUCGUGAUCCAGACCUGUCAGCUUAUCUGUGAACGAUCUAAGCUUGUGCCUGGAGUGUGUGUGAAUUCUGAUUGGAUGAGGUGGGGUGGAGCUAGAAGGAGGAGUCGGCAGCGAGUAGUGAGAAGAGUUUAGCCCUUGCUGCAAGAUGGAUGGAGUAGUAGAAGCUGCUGUUGUAAGUGGUAGAAGCUAGCUGUUGUAAAAGAAGCCAAUAGUAGUGAAGAGAGUUUUUUAGCCCUUGCCCUAGGUAGAAGCCAGAAGUAGUGAAUAAGAGUAGCUUUAGCUCUUGCUGUGAGUAGUGGUAGAGUAGUGAGUAGUUUAGCCCUUGCCCUAAGAAGAAGCUGCUGGGGAAGAGAGCUGUAAAAGAAAAAGCCUGAAGUAAAGGCAUUGCUGCAUGAACC